GCCUACGACCAUACCAACCUGGACACGCGAUCUCGUCUGAUCUCAAAAGCUAAGAUCGCCUGUGUUGGGUUAAAAGCAGUUGUUAUUC
rnacentral:rRNA from 1 species